UUUAACUCCUUUUUGGUCUCCUCAAGCACCGAUUUUCUCCAGCCAGCAAGCUCUGAUCUUGAUGCCCAGGUUUGGUCCGUUAGAGAAAGAGGAAAAAGAGGAGAAAGAGAGAGAGAGAGAACAGGUGAAAGUAACUGAAGAAUGGAGAAAGAAGAGAAAGAAUUUCAUGGUUUAUUUUUUGGCCUUUGGAUUGUUUUGUUUCCACGUGGCAUUCAUCCAUAUUAAAACGGGAGAGAACUGGAGAAUGACAAACGGGAGA